rnacentral:tRNA from 1 species
GCGGUUGUGGUGGAAUGGCAGACACGCUAGAUUCAGUUUCUAGUGGGGUAACAGCCGUGGAGGUUCGAGUCCUCUCGAUCGCA